CCUACGGGUGGCAGCAGUGAGGAAUAUUGGUCAAUGGGCGAGAGCCUGAACCAGCCAAGUCGCGUGAGGGAGUACUGCCCUAUGGGUUGUAAACCUCUUUUGUCGGGGAGCAAAAGCCGGACGUGUCCGGCUGUGAGAGUACCCGAAGAAAAAGCAUCGGCUAACUCCGUGCCAGCAGCCGCGGUAAUACGGAGGAAGCGGGGUUUAUCCGGGUUUAUUGGGUUUAAAGGGUGCGCAGGCGGAUUUUUAAGUCAGCGGUAAAAUCGUGGGGCUCAACCCCAUCCAGCCGGUGAAACUGGGGAUCUAGAGUGUGCGAGAGGUAUGCGGAAUGCGUGGUGUAGCGGUGAAAUGCAUAGAUAUCACGCAGAACCCCGAUUGCGAAGGCAGCAUACCGGUGCACAACUGACGCUCAGGCACGAAAGCGUGGGUAUCGAACAGGAUUAGAUACCCCAGUAGUC
rnacentral:rRNA from 1 species